GUGUUGAUUAACUAGGUUAGUAUUACCAGCAUUAGUGAGUUUAAGAAAUCUUAGUAUGUAAUAGCGAAGUGUUUGAUUAAAAGUCUAAUCCUAUAUUGAUAGUCAAAAUUAGUACAUUCUGAUCUAGGAAAGAUAGUCAUUGGAUAUUGAUAUGCUGUGCUGUCAGGAAAACAAAAAAACAAAAAACAGAAGAAACCUUUAUCCGACUCCCAUGUGUGCGUGUUCUGAUGGGAUGUAUACUUAACGGUGGCUUGUUGCUGCUUUGGGGGGAAAUGCAUAAACUACAUGGAGCGUUCACGUAUAAUUCUCUAUGACCUCCACUUUAAACUGUCAGACAUUGGUAUUUUAUCAGUCCACACUGUUAAAUAAAGCUAAUGUUCUUGGAAAAUCAACUUGUACACACUGUUGAAAAACCCUCAGGGACAGUUUUCACACUCUUCUCACUCAAUUCAGGUACUUUGAUGCUAUUCUUAAACCUAACAGUGACUUGUAUUUUUCUGUUUUGCUUUUAUUUCAACGUGCUGGUAGCACAUCUUUGAUGAAUGUCAACUUAAAAACUCAGUUCAGGUAUCCAGGUAUAACUCAGCCAAACAGAUUUUAAAGCUGCAUAACUUUCCAGCACACGGUGCCUCACACUCUUAUAGUGGCAUUCUAUAGAUUCAGUUAUAACUACUGAGCAGAUAAUAUGGGGGUUCCUGUUAACAGUGUAUUUUUUUAAACAUGCAUACAUGUAUAGCCACCACACACACACAUAAACUAUAUAUUUUUAAAUGCCACUAAUAGCCAGCACAAAGAAAAUAAGUAACAUUCCUAGCUGCUUCUGUAAACUGUGACAGAUGCAGUUCCUCCUUGAUGUGGCUCUUGUUUCUUCAUCAUAACUACUACUAAAUUCAAGCACUGGUCCUUGGGUGUCUGACCUCUACAUUCUAUUUAUGCAAUGUCUUCAGAGAAUCUGUGCACUGGCCACUGUGAUGGAACCAUUGGGCCACAAGUGCUUUGAGUUUAUCAGUAGUGAAUCUGCCAAAGUUGGUAUUUUUAACAUUGAGUAUGUAAGAUGUCAAAAGUGAGCAGAGGUCUGGGUCUGCAGACAGCAGAAAGUUUUAUCUCAGUGUAUUUUACAGCCUCUAAGACCUCAGUGACAAGUCCCUUCCGAUGGUGACUUGUCUUUUAACCACUUGUUUUCCACAGUGCUACCUGUGGUUAGCAAACUGUGUGCAUCAUCCUCUGCCUUACUGUUUGAUGUCUUACAUCCAAAAGAAACGCUAAAACCCAUAGCCUUUGAAGACAUGGAAAAUGGCAUUUUUCAGAUUUCUAGAAGUUCAGUGUCCUGCAACAAAACAGGAACCCCCUUAACUCUAUGGACCUCAUUUCAAUAUACUGUUUACAGUUUGACGGAAUUGUAUAAUUUAAUAUUUCUCUUGUACUGUAGUGAAUAUUUAUUUACAGAUUUUUUUGUACUGUGUGAUUUGAACUUUUUGUUCCUGCUAUAAUCAUUUGUUUAUGUAGUAGAGCACUUAUGAUCACACGUUAAGUUUUUGGGUUUGAUUGCACUACAUUAAAUUUUUAAUUCAGUUCUGAUUUUGACUGGACUAAAAUAAGCUGUCUUAAUGUAUGUGAUGAGUACUUAAAUUUUAAUCCAUGUGGUUCCCCUUCCUUUUUUUUUUUUCUUUUUUUGCAUUGUAUGUCAGAAGCACUACUUCUUCUGUGCAUGUGUAAGACUUAAUGGUUCCAUUGUAUUAUUUGACCAUGACAUUUUGGAGAAACAUUCCCAGCUGUAAUGUUGUGUAUGGUAGUUCUCACUGGAUGCUAGACUUUAAAAACCACUAUUCUUCUAAUAAAUUUUGUUGU
rnacentral:lncRNA from 1 species